GUGAAGUUUCAUUAAAUGAACAGAAUGACUGUCUGGUUCAUAAUGUGGACAGCACUCUUGGUAAUGGCUACAGAAGCUGUUCCAUGCCAUUACACCCAUCACUGUUCAGACUGUGACAGAGAGACAGGGGAUUGCCUCUCUGAGUGUGACACUGGGUAUUAUGAUCGACAAUGUAAGUCUACCUGCAGCCGGAACUGUAGGAAUAACAAAUGCGUGCUGUCAGAACAUGCUAGCGAUAACUGUACUGAUGGUUGUGUGCCAGGUUAUUCUGGCAUUGGGUGCAACAUACCAUGUG
rnacentral:lncRNA from 1 species